rnacentral:sRNA from 1 species
AACCGCAAAGCUGUGUGCCUCCAAGGAACGCACGACAUGCCGUAAAACGCACAACGCAAAGCAUGUUAUUCUUUACAGCCAUCUUGGCGAUGCUGUUAGUGACACCAGACAGGGAGAUGAACAUUGGGGGCCAGUGAGAAGUCUCUCUGGGUAAGGACGCAUGCCAGCAAGCUAUGACCUGGGCUUGAUGUCUGGAACCCACACAGUAGAAGGAGAGAACUGACUCUCACAGGCUGCCCCCCUGAUCUCAAGAGGCUGUGGCAUGCAGGGUUGCUGUUGCUAUCUGAGGACUUAAUUCUUCAGGUGAAGAGAGCGGGAUGGAGCUUGGAGGGCAGGAAUUCUGGGACUCAACUGGAUUCUGUCAGAGAGGAAGGGAUGUGCUGAGCUCUGCAAACCUCCUUCCGCUAUUGACAGCGGAGCCUGCUGGUGAGGGACGGGUGACCUUCACCUGCUCUGCCUUAGUCAAUAACAACCCAGAGACAAACAGUCGCUUCAUCUACAACAACCACUUAAUUUUGUGCCCCACUCUAUUUACAGUCAGAAAAAAGAAAAGCAAACCAAAUUCUGUGAUAUGUAUUUUUUUUUCUUCAGUCAAGGAUGUACCACAAAUGUCAACAAAGUGUCCUUUUGGUCAAUACUUGCUAGGGAAAGUACAGUGUGUUCUUGGGAUGAUUAUGGUACACAAGGCUUCUCACAAACUAAUGAAAACAUCGAACUUGUUACAUAUUUAUACACAAGUACUUUGGGAUGUUGUAGGAAGGCGAACUCCACAGAUCUACAUUCUAAUAAAGCCCCAUUCACACAUAAACACAUACACACAUAACUUUUUUGUAUUUACAUCAGCCAUGGGUGGAAUUUUCUGCCCAGUCCUGGGGGUGGGGGCAGCUUUAAAUAUUUCAUGGGAAAAUAAGAGUGCUUCUUUACUCCCUUAAGACGAAACGGAAUGGAUAAAUAAUGCAUAUGUCUGAGGCCAGUUUUAAAAACCUCGUGAUUUGUACUGACUGAGGGGAACCAACCGACACGUGAAGCCAGAAACUAUGAAAAUUGAAAGGGAAAUAGGUGGAAAAUUCCACAAGCCUAAAUCCCAGCUCCCAGGACGGCAGGAUUGUCACCUGAGAGGCAUCUGCUGAAUUUUUGGCAGCCUUGCAUUACCUUGCUUUGAAGACAGAGUGUAAUAUCAAGGGCUUCCAGAAGGAGACUGAAUUAUAUUUGCUGGGAGACUUCUUGGUACCAUCAAUUUAUCUAAAUCUAAGUGAACAGCCAAUAUCGAGAAAGACGUCAACCCCGGAAGCUUCCCCUAGUGGACAGUAUUAACUGGGGACAAGCAGCUAAGGUGCCCAUUUGACAUAAUCAAAGUGGACCUGGGCUGUCAGGUUCUCCCAGCAUCCUUCAGUCCCUACUCCUCAGGGUAUAGUUGACAAACCCCCACGACCUCUACUCUGAAAGGUCCAGCCCAGGGGCUGGGCUGCCUACCCCCCAGAAGCUCUUCUCUGUGUAGCCCAGACUUUAGCUUUCCAGCUGCUGCUCUUGGUUUCCUUUUCCCCCCUCUCCCUACAUGGUACAGGGUCAUGAACUCUAUGGACUCUCCCAGAUGCCUCUCCCACAUAUCUAUAAUAAUUUUUUCCUCCACCAUACCUAGGAGCAGUCACAGUCUGUUCUUUCCUAUUCUUUUUUUUUUUUUUUCAUUCAGAGAGCACUGUCUUUUGGUGGGGAGGGGAAACCUACCCUCAAAUCUGCAUUACAGAGUUCUUGUAACCAUGGGUCCAGGCAGACAGAUUGUUACUGCAAAGGUUUUCUGCGCUAGUUUGUACACCACCUGAGGAAUACAGGGGAAGGUUCACCUACAGUAGAAGUUGGGACUUCCCACAGCGGGAACAAUGUCAGGCAUUGUAAUAAAUGUGUCCUUCGGACCUUCAUCAAGUGCAGAAACAUUUCAUGUAUGAGGAGGGUGGGGCCGAUAAACUCUCAGAGAGGUGAGUUCAGUUACCUUGACUGCCACAAUGUGUUACUUUCUAGGCAUAAGAAACAUUCUAUCUGAGUCUUUUCUAUUCUAGGGAAUGAAUACUUUAAAACCAGUGUUUAAAACAAGUAUUUUUACAAGUCUUUUCUUUUACACUCCUACCCCACACUGGGAAAACAUUUCUGUAAAUGUUUUAUCCUUCUUCCCCACCCAGUAAAGAUUUUGUGCCUGCUGUGUUCUGGGCACUUGAUGUAGACCUGUGAUCCCUUUCUCCCAGGAGCAGUAAACCCGAUUUCCCAUUUCCUGUGCUCACAGUCUUAAAAGAUUAGUCAAUCACAAAAGACUGUGAAGUCGCCAAUCAUAAAAGACUGUGAAGUCGGAUUCUAACCAACAGGGAAAAGACACAGGCACUACUUACAUUAGAAUAAAAAUCCAAGAACAAUUCCCAUCCCGGUGUGUUUGCUCUUCCCAUUGGCGAGCAAUGUUCCCUGUUGAUUAAGAGUAAAGUUUUACCUUAACUUCAUUUAGAAGGGCUAUCCCAUUCUUAGUUCUAAAGUAGGCAUCUGAAGUAGCUUUUGAGGA